CCCUUGCAGUUGGAUAGCUCACCCUAAAUCCAGGCCACACCUCCUAGUGGCAGAUCACAUAGGAAGACAUAGAAGGAAGCUAUUGUGUUUUGUCUGUGUGUCCUCACUCUCACUGGCAAGUUCACCAACCCUGCUGCUGAGGCGACCCUUCACUCAUAUUAGAACCUACUUCUUCCUGACUCCAAUACAGGUGGAAGACGACCCAAGAUAUCCAACCCUGUGGACGGAACAACUGGAUUAUUGGCCUGUCUGCUGGGAGACAGCCUGUGGUGGUUUGAAUAAAAAUAACUCCCAUAGGGAGUGGCACUAUAAGGGGGUGUGGCCUUGUUGGAGGAAGUGAGUCACUGAGGGUGGGCUCUGAGGUUUCAAAUGUUCAAGCCAGGCUCAGAGUCACUCUCUUCCUGCUGCCUGAAGAUCCAGAUGUAGAACUCUCGGCUAUCUCUCCGGAACCAUGUGUGCCUGCAUACCAUCAUGUUUCCCACCAUGGUGAUAAUGAACUAAGCCUCUGAAACUGUAAGCCAGCCCCAAUUAAAGGUUUUCCUUUAUAAGAGCUGCCCUGGUCACAGUGUCUCUUCACAGCAAUAGAAACCCUAAGAUGUUGAAGGAGCAGUGAGGCUGCGUCCCCGGCACCCGGCCGCCCACAUGGCUUAUGCCCCGAAAUAAUUACACGGAAACUGUAUUCUUUUAAACACUGCCUGGCCCGGCUAUUUCCAGUUUCUUAUUGGCUAGCUCUUACAUAUUGUUCUAACCCAUUUCUAAUAUUCUGUGUAGUCCAUGAGGUGGCUUACCAGGGAGGAUCUUAACCUGCAUCUGUCUGGCGUGGGAGAAUCAUGGCGACUCCCUCACUCAGCUUCUUUCUCCCAGCAUUCUCUCUGUUUACUCCACCCACCUAUGUUCUAACCAAUAAAAUGGGCCAAGGCAGUUUCUUUAUUAUAAUUAACCAAUGUCCUUCCUCCAUCACUAAGACAGAGCCAUUGCUGAAAUAGCUGGACCCCCACCUCAAGUUGUUCUCUUUUAACAUAUAUGGAUUCAUUCUACUAGUUCUGUUUUUCUAGAGAACGGGUGUUUUGCCUGCAUGUGUACCAGGGUCUCAUUAUACAGCUCAGAAUGACCAGGAAUACACUGUAGCCCAGGCUGCCCCUGAAGUUUUCUGCAAUCAUAUAGCCUCCUGAGAGCCAUCACACCCAGCUCACAAUAUCAAAAUGCAAAAUUAUCAUUUCUCCUGUCAACUGGGCAGACUUUAAAGAAACCACUGACCAUAAAGCCACACUGCAAACAAAUGCAGAAACAUCAAUUACCACCAAAGCAGAGUGUUGGUUUUUUGGUUAUCUUAUUUUUCUCAAAAUCCCAUCAGAGCCAAAGAACAAGGAAGGACUUUGCAAACAGGGAAGAGCGACGGUGAUACAUGGGUCUAAGGUUCUGUCAGGCUAGCGGAGCAAGAAGGAAAAUGAAUUGUAGACCCACAGCCUCAUCUCUUCAGUCAUCAGCCAUGCCAAUGACAAAGAUUUAGAAUGCAUUUUACAGCACCCAUUUCUCUUCAGUGACCUAAGUGCUUUUCCUGUCAGCCACAGACAGUAAUAUUCCGGCCUAAUGAAGUUCAUCUUACUGCGACAGAAACACCCCAGGAAAGCAGACAACCCUCAGAUUCACCUGAGGCAGCACAGGCCCUGACAGUCAGACGAUAUGUUAAAGCCAGAUGUAAGGGACAUCUCUGAUUCUGUGCACAGGGUGUUUGAGGCCUGAAUCUGCCCACAGAGCUGGAUGCAGUGGCAGGCAUCCAGGACAACCGCCAGAGGUUCCUAGGCUGACUGACCUGAGUACAAGUACACAGGGCAACACCAGCAACAGGAGCCCCUGCCUUAAAACGGGGCAAAGGGUAAGAACAUGAAUGCCAUGGUAAGUUCACAUGCAUGUGUGUGCAUGCAUGCAUGUGAGUGCACACACACACACACACACACACACACACAUCCUAAAUACAUAAAUAAAUACAAACACCAAAACCUAAAUGGGGUUGAGCGUGAUAGUAAACAUAUUUAAUCCAAGCACUGGGGAGGCACAGGCAGGCAGUCAGAUCUGUGAGUUCAAGGCCAACCUGGUCUACACAGCAAACCCCAGACGAGACAGAGUUACAUGGUAAGACACUGUCAAAAAAAGAAAGAAUAUAAGUGGGCCAGUGGGAAAUGUUGGAUAUGGGUGGGAUAAGGCAGGAUUUUCUUUUUAUUUAGAAAACAUGGAGGAAAUAUCAAAUUCAGACCCCAGUGCUUAAAAUCAGAAGCCAGGGAGAGAUUGAGGGAUGGGGUGGCCAAGACACCGGGGAAUGUGGAGUGGCUGGUUUCUUGGAGAAAGCAAAGAGAAAGGGUAUUUCCAGAACAGCUGUGAAACUCCAUUGCAGGGCAACUCAUUUCCCAUUUCCUUGGCUGAAAAAGUCCAACCUUCUGUUCUGGACUCAGCCACAAAGCAUAACAGGAAGUUGCAAGACCAAGAGACCAGUCUCUAGUGUCUCCCUCCCCAACAUUAUCCCAUACUUUUCCCAAUUCCUAUAGCCUGAGCAAAGGCCAUCCAUAGCCUUGGUGCCCAGAAAAUUUAAAACACCACACCCAGGUGUUGUGUAAUACCAUGGGGAAGAGGGAUUCUUAACUAUGGACAUAAUGCAUCGCAUUGAAGAAAAUAAAUGAGAACAGGCCUCACUCAAAAAAGAGGAUCGGAUGUGUAGGUCAGGUGACAGAGAGCUUGCUUAGCAUGCAGGAGGCCCUAGACCCUCAGCACUGCAUAAAACUCAGUGUGGCAGUACAUGCCUUUAACUCCAGCAGUAUAGAUUUGGAGCCAGGAGGAUUAUAAAAUCAAAGUUAUCCUUGGCAAGUUCCAGGAUAGCCUAGGAUACAGUGAGGAGCGGGGAAAGGAGGAAAAGUAGGGCACAUUGCAUAUGCACAACGCCUGGACACAGACAGAAACACACGCACACACGCAUCUCUCAAAUGAAAAGAGAAGAAAGGAUAGCAUUAAUUUAACAGACAGCAGAUAAUCCUGUCAUGUUUGAAGCUGCUAAAAAUCAUAAAAUAAAAGGAACAUUUUUUUAAAAGUACAAUCAUGAGGACAAAGUCAAGAUAUCAAUAAAACCUAAGCAUGAAAGAAGGGCAAGUCAUAACACUUUUGCUUGUUCUAGAGAAAAUAAAAGCUAACAUGCCUAUGAAAAAUAUAGCUACAAACAUUAGACAAAUGGAAAUAUGAAAGAGAAUGCAGAAAAAAAGAAGAUUGAAAAGAAGAUAAAUCAGGCAUCUCCACACACAAAGCCAAAGCUAGAUGCAGUAGCCCACUUGUAAUCCCAACAUUCCUAUGGUUAGAUGGGAAGUGGAGACAGGAUGCCCAGAGGCCAGUUAGCCAGGGGUACACUGGGCAGCAGAGACAAGACAAUAUUCCUUCAAUUAGACAGAAGGCAAGAACUGACCCCAGGAAUGGUUCUCUGACCUCUGCAAAAUGCGCUGGCAUAUACACAUGCAUGCACACUCACUACAAAUAUGGAAACCUUCAACCAUUAGCAAACUAAAUCCAUAGCAACGUAUAUCCAUUCUAAGAUAGCUCAUUAUCAGGAAAUCAACUGACAGGUGGGCAUGGUGGCACAUGCUUUUAAUCCCAGCACCCAGAAGGCAAAGACAGGUGGAUCUUUAUGAGUUUGAGUCCACCCUCGUCUAUAUAGAGAAUUAUAGGCCAGCCAGGGCUACAUAAUGAGACUCUGUAUCAAAAGAAAAAACAGUCAAUUAACUAAUGCAGGAAAAAUUAGCCAUUAACUAAGGCAGAAAGAAUAAGUAAUAUAACAAUAUUCAUAGAUGCUAAAUGGUGCAUUUUAUAACUAUUCCAUUCACUUCCUGAUAUUUUUAAAAUCAGGGGCUGGAGUAAUGGCUCGGUGGUUGAGAGCACUUGCUGCUCUUCCAGAUGAUUGGGGUUCAAUUCCAGCACCCACAUGGCAGCUCACAACAGUCUGUAACCCCAGUUACUGGGGCUCCAACACUCUCUUCUACCCUCCACUGAUACUAGGCACACACUUCGUGCACUUACAUGCAUGCAGGAAAACACCCACACACAUAAAGUAAUUCUUUAAUUAAAAAAUGAGUGAAAAAAGUUUUCGACUUAAUAAGAAACCAGUAGCAAACAAAGCAUUAGUACUCAAUGCAUGCCCCUUUGAUAAGGAGUUGGUGGUGGUGUUUGGGGAGACUUAGGAGGUGUGGCCUUGCUGAGAGAAGCAAGGCACUGGGAGCAGGACUCAUUUUCAUUGGCUCUCUCUACUUCCCGUUUGCAGUUUGCAGAUGGGAGCUCUCAGCUUGCUGUUCCCGCUGCCACUGUUGCCGGCUGCCAUGCUCCUCACCCCAUCAUGAUGGCAAUGGUUUCCUUACCUCUCUGGAACCUGACACCCAUGUCAACCCUCCUUUUCAUCUGUGAGUCACCUGGCCAUGGUGUUUGUCACAGCAAGAGAAAAGAAACUAAGACAAGGUAUUCAGAAUUGGUGAGAAUUUACCUGGCUGCUAGGUAAAAAUUUAAAAACAAGCCUCCUCCAAUAACAAUAAGAACACUGGUGAGGUUUGAGACCUUCGUCUUUAAUAUCGGGGCAUAAAAAAUGAAAGGGAACCUGAGAAGAGGCCUGUCCAAUGGGAAUUUGGCUGUAAGUACAUAGCCAAUAAUAAACAGUGGAUAAAUAUUUAAUGAAGAAAUUAAUGGAAUCUGAACUUCCCGAGGAAGUCUGGGUUCUCUCUUCUACUUCCUUUGGGAGGACAGACUGUUUUCUUGCCAGCUAACAUAAGCCUUUCUUCAAGGUAUGCAGGUGUUUGGCCUAUAUGCACGUCUGUGUACCAUAUAUGUGUCUGAUACUUGAGGAGACCAGAAGCAAACACUGGAUCCCCUGGGACUCCAGUUACAGACAGCUGUAAGCUUCCGUGUCCUCUGGAAGAACAGCCAGUGCUUUUCCUGCUGAGCAUCUCUCCAGCCCCAGUUCUCUAUUGUUUUCAUCAUGCACGUUUGGAUGGUUAAGGUAUUCCAUCUACUAUAAGAUGCAUUGAUAUCUACUAUCAAAAGUCAUCAAAAGCAGGCACAAAGCUGAUACGGUGGCUCAUAAUUCUAAUCCUAGAACUGAAAGGCUGAGGCAGAAGGAUCACCUUAAAUUCAAGGCCAGCCUGAGCCACAAAGUGAGAUGCUAUAUCAAAAACAAAAGGCAAAAAGUAUUUUUAGUCAUAUAAGAUAUGUUCACCUAGGGCCUGCAAGAUGGCUCAGUGGGUAAAUGGCACUGGCUGCCCAGUCUGGCAACAACAGAAAAGAACAAAUUCCCACAAGGACCUUCACCUACACACAUACACACACACACACACACACACACACACACACAC